GCUUAACUUUGGAACUGCAUUUUUAACUACCGGGCUAGAGUGUGUCAGAGGGAGGUGGAAUUCCGCGUGUAGCAGUGAAAUGCGUAGAUAUGCGGAGGAACACCGAUGGCGAAGGCAGCCUCCUGGGAUAACACUGACGCUCAUGCACGAAAGCGUGGGGAGCAAACAGGAUUAGAUACCCUGGUAGUCCACGCCCUAAACGAUGUCAACUAGCUGUUGGGGUCUUCGGACCUUGGUAGCGCAGCUAACGCGUGAAGUUGACCGCCUGGGGAGUACGGUCGCAAGAUUAAAAACUCAAAGGAAUUGACGGGGACCCGCACAAGCGGUGGAUGAUGUGGAUUAAUUCGAUGCAACGCGAAAAACCUGAC
rnacentral:rRNA from 1 species